rnacentral:sRNA from 1 species
CCUCCCCUACACCAUCUGGGAACCCCAGGACAUGCGUCCUCUACAUCGUUCUCAAGGAGCAGAUGCUGAAAGGACUGUUGUCUCUGCAUUCUCAGAGGGUCUGACAGCCUGGUGGCGAUGCCCACGGUGAGGCCUGCAGCCUGGGCAGGUGGGCGCGAAGGUCAUGCAGAGCUGCCCCAGGGGGAGGACGGCACCUGAGAGGCAGGUGUGGGCACUGCAUCCCCAUCCUCAUGGCCUGUCCAUUUUGGGGCCGCACCUCCCCUUCGGGUGGCCUGACUCAACCCUGCACAGGGCACACAUGAGAGCUCCUGGUUUGCGUUCUGGAGGUGGGUGCUGGGAGGGGGUUGUCCUAGGGCCCUGGUGGUGCUGGGAGGUGGCCUCGUAGCUGUUCCUCUUGCAGAGGGCGGGGUGCCAGCAUGCAGGGCUUGCAGUGUCAUCCUCUAGCCUCUUGGUAACUGGUGACUCCCCCUGGAACCUGCAGUGCACAGGCUGAGGGGCGUCUUGGACACAGCAGAGGGGUGUCCAGAGACACUGGAGGCCCUGUGCCCAGAGACACUGGAGGCCCUGUGUCCAGCUGGGAGGAUGGCUUCUCUGGCUACGCGGGAAGUGGGCGAGCCCCCAGUGGCCCUGUCUCAGCCCUCGGGCCGUCUCCCCAGGUGCUUGGUGGGCUCUGGAACCCAGGGUACGAUGUUUGGAGCUGGCCAAGAGAAGAGCGGCCUCCGGAGUGGAGCCUGGGUCCAUCCUUUUCAGCACUGCCCCACCCAGGGCCAUUCCAAGAGGAACCGUGGCUGGAUGAGGAGAGUGGGAGCGGUUCAUGUGGAGCCUGGUACUGGGAGACUGCCCGUCGGUCUAGCUGGGGCAGUGGAGGCUAUGGUGGUUGUGGCCAUGGUGUGGAGGGGGCGUUUGCUCAGUGGCCAGUACUGUUCUGUGCUGUGUAGUCCAUUCCCACCUGUGGUGAGCUGGGAGCUGACUCUCAGGGAGGAAACCCCGACUCAUAGUGUUGGCCGUGUCUCAGGUGUAAGCACUCCCACCACAGCCCUCUCCACUGCCUGUGGGUGGGGCUGCGGCAUCGGCCCCAACGUGCCCUGGUUCAGGCCUGCAGGGGCAGUCACUGUGGGCAUGGCCUUGGAGGACUGAGACCCAGCACCGUGGCGGGGGGAGAGGGGUGGUGGCCGCCAGGUGGGUGCCCUGGGUCUUGGUGUUGUGCUGGGGGAGGAGGGGUGUUAGGGACUGGGGGUCACCUUAUAUUUACAUGAACUAGAGCACACCUUUGUUGUCAUGGUUGGACCCAACAGUAAGAGGCAAACCCAGGGUGUCCAUGUCCCUAGGACACUCCAGCCUGCUCUGGGGCCACGAGUCUCACAUGAGGACUGGCCGCCCGGUGUACAGGGGCAAGAGGGGGGCCUCGGGUUGGGCCUUCAGGGGCUAGGUCCCUGUCCUGGCCAGGCUGUUAACUGCAGGUGCCCACAGAGACCACUGCCCUCCUCUGGUUUCCCCGGAGAGGGGCUUGGCUUCUAGCAGUCAGAGCAGGGCUCUCCCAAAGGGUGGGGCCUGGCUGACGAGCCACAGCACAGCUUCCUGGGAAGAGAAGGAGACUGUGCCUUUAAAAUACAACAGAAAAACAGCAGCACGCACUUGUGUAAACGAAUACAACUGAAGUUAUAUAGAAGCGGAGAAAAUGAAGAUGACCCCUUUCAUUUAAUCACACACGUGUACAGCCAUGUGGCUGGCAGGGUCCCCAGCGUGAUCCUGGUGUAGUUCUAAGUCAGUGCAGGCAGACCCCUCCAUGGAGUGCAGUGUGGUCCCCGCAGACAGGGUGUGGGGACAGUGUGCAUGCCCAGGGAGGGAGACACCUGAGUCUGCCACACCUCUGCUGCUGGCGCCGCCUCUGCCCGCAGAUGACCUGAGCAGGUGGGACCCAGUGGCUGGGUGGGUGUGCAGCGGGUGCAUGCCCUGACCGUGUCUCUGUCCCCACAGACAGUACUACUGGUAUGACGAGCGGGGGAAGAAGGUCAAGUGCACAGCCCCGCAGUACGUUGACUUUGUCAUGAGCUCCGUGCAGAAGCUGGUGACGGAUGAGGACGUGUUCCCCACAAAAUACGGCAGAGAAUUCCCCAGCUCCUUUGAGUCCCUGGUGAGGAAGAUCUGCAGACACCUGUUCCACGUGCUGGCGCACAUCUACUGGGCCCACUUCAAGGAGACGCUGGCCCUGGAGCUGCACGGACACUUGAACACGCUCUACGUCCACUUCAUCCUCUUUGCUCGGGAGUUCAACCUGCUGGACCCCAAAGAGACCGCCAUCAUGGACGACCUCACCGAGGUGCUAUGCAGCGGGGCCGGCGGGGUCCACAGUGGGGGCAGCGGGGAUGGGGCCGGCAGCGGGGGCCCGGGAGCACAGAACCACGUGAAGGAGAGAUGAGUCCCCCGGGCCGGACAGGGGCGCACGUGUGCAAAGAGACGGUGGUGUGUGUUCUCUCCUGCAUCUGCGUGUGCACACAUGUGCUGGGCACGCGUGUGGUGAGGUCUGAGAGGGCCCUGGGCUGCACUGCUGUGGGCUGCACAGACGCAGAUGGCCCCGGCCGUGUCCUGUGGCCCUGUCGGAUGGAUGCGUGCCGUUUGUAGAGAAGAGCCUUUGGGCCCGUUCACUCGUUCAGCAGACACGCAUAGGACUGAUGCUUUGAGUUUUCUUCUGUGGGGUUUUCCUUUCUCUGGUCUCCGUGCAGCCCCUGCCCUCCCUCGGGUGCUGCUGGCCUCAAAGGAGGAACUCAUGGGGGGAGGGUGUGAUUUGCAGACCUGGGUCUCUGCUCUGCUCUGGGGGUGGGGCUUGCUUUCACAGAGACCCUCCUUCCCUCUCGCCCCUCCUCUCCCGGCCUCGCCAGGAGUCUUGGCUGUUGGCAGCUCAGAGGUGGGGGAGGCCUGUGGUGUGGGGUGCCCUGCACCUGCUCCUGCUCCUGUCACCCCUUCCUGCUGCCUCCUCCAUGCCCAAGGAACGGCCAUGGUGCAGUCCUCAGGCAAGGCCGGGACGGGGCUGAGGCCCUGCGUGGAGAUGCUGCACCAGCAGAAGGCUGAGACCCGCUUACCUUAGUUCAUCUGUUCACUCGUAAUAAAAAGAAUUCUCUCAGGUCA